AACGAACGCUGGCGGCGUGCCUAACACAUGCAAGUCGAACGAGAAAGGGGCUUCGGCUCCGAGUAAAGUGGCGCACGGGUGAGUAACACGUGGGUAACCUGCCUCUAAGAUUGGGAUAACUCGUCGAAAGAUGAGCUAAUACCGAAUAAGACCACAGUUCCCGCGGGAACAGGGGUCAAAGGUAGCCUCUGCUUGCAAGCUAUCACUUAGAGAUGGGCCUGCGCACCAUUAGCUAGUUGGUAGGGUAACGGCCUACCAAGGCAAAGAUGGUUAGCUGGUCUGAGAGGAUGAUCAGCCACACUGGAACUGAGACACGGUCCAGACUCCUACGGGAGGCAGCAGGGGGGAAUAUUGCGCAAGGGGCGAAAGCUUGACGCAGCAACGCCGCGUGAGGGAUGAAGGCCUUCGGGUCGUAAAGCUCUGUCGGGAGGAACGAAUGCUCCUGAGGUUAACAGCCUCGGGAGGUGACGGUACCUUCAAAGGAAGCACCGGCUAACUCUGUG
rnacentral:rRNA from 1 species